UCUUGAUUUAAUUUUGAACGAGUGGCGGACGGGUGAGUAACACGUGGGUAACCUGCCCUUAAGUGGGGGAUAACAUUUGGAAACAGAUGCUAAUACCGCAUAAAUCCAAGAACCGCAUGGUUCUUGGCUGAAAGAUGGCGUAAGCUAUCGCUUUUGGAUGGACCCGCGGCGUAUUAGCUAGUUGGUGAGGUAACGGCUCACCAAGGCAAUGAUACGUAGCCGAACUGAGAGGUUGAUCGGCCACAUUGGGACUGAGACACGGCCCAAACUCCUACGGGAGGCAGCAGUAGGGAAUCUUCCACAAUGGACGCAAGUCUGAUGGAGCAACGCCGCGUGAGUGAAGAAGGCUUUCGGGUCGUAAAACUCUGUUGUUGGAGAAGAAUGGUCGGCAGAGUAACUGUUGUCGGCGUGACGGUAUCCAACCAGAAAGCCACGGCUAACUACGUGCCAGCAGCCGCGGUAAUACGUAGGUGGCAAGCGUUAUCCGGAUUUAUUGGGCGUAAAGCGAGCGCAGGCGGUUUUUUAAGUCUGAUGUGAAAGCCCUCGGCUUAACCGAGGAAGUGCAUCGGAAACUGGGAAACUUGAGUGCAGAAGAGGACAGUGGAACUCCAUGUGUAGCGGUGAAAUGCGU
rnacentral:rRNA from 2 species